rnacentral:lncRNA from 1 species
GUCGCUCCCGCCUCUCGUCCCAUGGCACGUGGCCUAUAGCCUAUGGAAGUUGGGUUACGGUCGAAAAAUCGAGGAUUGUUGGAAAUGCUCUGAGACUUAGGAGUCCCUCAACCUUUGUUGGAAUAGAUGUCCAUGCAAAAAUUGGGGUACAAAUUCGUUGUGUAGGCCGAGUUAUUGUCGCUCCCGCCUCUCGUCCCAUGGCACGUGGCCUAUAGCCUAUGCAGCACUAGGUCCGGUCGAAAAAUCGAGGAUUGUUGGAAAUGCUCCGAGACUUUGGAGUCCCUUAACAUUUGUUGGAAUAGAAGUCCAUGCAAAAAUUUGGGUACAAAUUCAUUGUGUAGGCCAAGUUAUUGUCGUUCCCG